AUUGAACUAUUUGCUGACUGAUUUUAGAGAAGAGUCACUGAGACUAUAAUAAUCAGUGAAGACUUGAAGAUCGGU
rnacentral:snoRNA from 1 species